GGAUGAACGCUAGCUACAGGCUUGACACAUGCAAGUCGAGGGGAAACGAUAGAGAAAGCUUGCUUUUUCUAGGCGUCGACCGGCGCACGGGUGAGUAACGCGUAUCCAACCUGCCCAUCACUUGGGGAUAACCUUGCGAAAGUAAGACUAAUACCCAAUGACGUCUCUAGAAGACAUCUGAAAGAGAUUAAAGAUUUAUCGGUGAUGGAUGGGGAUGCGUCUGAUUAGCUUGUUGGCGGGGUAACGGCCCACCAAGGCGACGAUCAGUAGGGGUUCUGAGAGGAAGGUCCCCCACAUUGGAACUGAGACACGGUCCAAACUCCUACGGGAGGCAGCAGUGAGGAAUAUUGGUCAAUGGGCGAGAGCCUGAACCAGCCAAGUAGCGUGCAGGAUGACGGCCCUAUGGGUUGUAAACUGCUUUUAUAAGGGAAUAAAGUGAGUCUCGUGAGACUUUUUGCAUGUACCUUAUGAAUAAGGACCGGCUAAUUCCGUGCCAGCAGCCGCGGUAAUACGGAAGGUCCGGGCGUUAUCCGGAUUUAUUGGGUUUAAAGGGAGCGUAGGCCGGAGAUUAAGCGUGUUGUGAAAUGUAGACGCUCAACGUCUGCACUGCAGCGCGAACUGGUUUCCUUGAGUACGCACAAAGUGGGCGGAAUUCGUGGUGUAGCGGUGAAAUGCUUAGAUAUCACGAAGAACUCCGAUUGCGAAGGCAGCUCACUGGAGCGCAACUGACGCUGAAGCUCGAAAGUGCGGGUAUCGAACAGGAUUAGAUACCCUGGUAGUCCGCACGGUAAACGAUGGAUGCCCGCUGUUGGUCUGAAUAGGUCAGCGGCCAAGCGAAAGCAUUAAGCAUCCCACCUGGGGAGUACGCCGGCAACGGUGAAACUCAAAGGAAUUGACG
rnacentral:rRNA from 1 species